AUUAAAAAUAUUUUUAAAAGAACGCAGCUGUGCGUUUGAGAAACGACCGGAAACGACUUAUAUGUCGCGAGGCCAUCACGUGACCAUAAUAUUUACCAGAAGACCGUUAUUUGCUCGAGUUCCCUCAACUUUUUUGUCGCAAAUAACAUUAUUAAUAACCUGUAAAUAAUAAAAUUUGUACACAUUACGUUCCUCUUCACGUUGUAAUAGUAUGUUUUUGGUUUAAUAGUCGGCUUUAAGUUAGUUUUUCUGUCAGUUUGAUCGUCAAAAUCUUGAAAGUUAUCUACAGCCACACAUCCACUGUAUACCAAGUUAUGAUGAUCAAUUAUGAGAAUGCAAAAGGAUUUAUAGAUCAGUAAACAAUCAACAAAAAGGUAAUGUCUUAAUAUAUUUCUGCUUUUGUUACUUAUUCAUGUAUUUGAAUUACAUAAUUCAAAAUCAAAUGUUAAUAAUUAUAGGGUUUCAACUUGUUGCAGCUUUACAAAAAAUGUAGAAUUUGUAGGAGCAUGGACAACUGAGUAACAAAGUCAUAUUAUGCAGAUGGGUGCUCAUGGUGGCCUCCAAAUAAAUACAUGGACAGGCUGCUAAAGAGGGUCAGGAUGAUGGAGAUGCAAGAGCCAAAGACAGCACGGACCAAACACCAGGCCAGAAUUCUGCAUGAGUCAGAUUGAGUAAUUUUCACUCUAGAGACCCUGGGGUGACCACCAAGGACGAAUGAAAACUCCAGUGAGUGUCUCUAAGGUAGAUCCUAAUGCAGAUGGAUGGAAUGUUGAUCCGCCUAACAUGCAAGAUUUUCUGUACCGAGAACUUUGGAUGACCAUCAAGACAAGCACUCGUUUUAAGUCCUGAGACCCUGGGGUGACCACCGUGAACAAAUACAGACUGCAAAAAGGCAGUCUUGACGGUUCUAGGAUGAAUGCAAAUAAAGACUGACCACCUGACUUCAGCGGUCCAGUCUCUUGUGGAAAGCAGCUGUUUGUUACCCCAAAUACGGAUGAAGAGUGACGAAGAGGAUAAUGACUUUUUUCUCAAACAUCUGCUGAAGAUCUUGACAGGCUGGAGACAAAAUUAACAGACUGAUGGUUUAUACAAAGAAACUUACUCAGCCAAUAUUAAAGAUAAGAUAUUUUUACAAAAUGUUCUUUUCAUUGUUUAGGAUGAUUUUAUGUAGAAAACAAUACAUCACAGGCAGUGCCUUACACACACACUAACCACAAUUAUAAACGCAACACUAACACAGAUUUAGACAGAUUUGUGAAUAAUAUUUGAGAGAAAUAGGCCUUUUGGGGACAUAGAAAAUAUUUAAGUUCAGCUCAUGAAAUAAAAAUUGGGGGCAAAAAAUUUUUUAACAAGUGCAAUACAAAUAUCAACCAUAAUACUGAUCGUUUUAAAAAAGUAAGCCACUAUAUCUUUCUAGAAUCUUACACAAGACUCAGUUACAUGAACGAUCAAAAUAAAUUAACGUCAGACAGGUGGGCGAAAUAUCAAUAUUAAAGCAUGAAUAACUGUUAUCAACCAAAUUUCAAGGUAUUAUUUAAAUGAUCCCACACCAAACAGUUUAUUAUUUGAAUGCAUUAUUACUACAUACCUUAAGCAUGUGUUCCACGCCUUUCUUCUUGGCAUUGCGAGGUCAAGCGGAUGUUGUUAUGUAGAAUCACGACCUUGACGUAAAGACGCACAUCCGUAAUUUAUUUAACAAUGAUAACACUUUCGGGUAAUUUUAUCUUCUAGAUCCUAAUUAAAGCUAUAAAGAAAAAGCACCCUAUCACGAUU